UCGACCUUUCUAGCUCGAUCAUUCGUUCUGGUGUUCUUGAGAGGGAAGAACGUUAUUUUUCCGGCCAUUAAUCGAAAAAGCAUAUUCAAGAUGAUGACCUACGCGAACAGCAAGCCACUCAUAAUUGCAGUUAAUUUGUUCGUUGUAAUAGCCGGCUGUAUUUUGUUACUAAUCUACCAUUGUAAUAAUAAAGGUGAUCGCUAAGAACUAAGGCGUGAUGCAAGAGACUGUUUUCCCGGUGCCUCACAAAGUCAACCACACAUCGUCGCCCAUCAAUUACAAGCUAUAAACUUAAUUCAAUGUUACAGCCCAGAAAUAUAAUACGAUCGAGUUACGAAUAAAAUGAAUUGAUCAAC